AGUGAACGCUGGCAGUAGGCCUAACACAUGCAAGUCGAACGGCAGCACAGUAAGAGCUUGCUCUUACGGGUGGCGAGUGGCGGACGGGUGAGGAAUACAUCGGAAUCUACUUUUUCGUGGGGGAUAACGUAGGGAAACUUACGCUAAUACCGCAUACGACCUACGGGUGAAAGCAGGGGAUCUUCGGACCUUGCGCGAUUGAAUGAGCCGAUGUCGGAUUAGCUAGUUGGCGGGGUAAAGGCCCACCAAGGCGACGAUCCGUAGCUGGUCUGAGAGGAUGAUCAGCCACACUGUAACUGAGACACGGUCCAGACUCCUACGGGAGGCAGCAGUGGGGAAUAUUGGACAAUGGGCGCAAGCCUGAUCCAGCCAUACCGCGUGGGUGAAGAAGGCCUUCGGGUUGUAAAGCCCUUUUGUUGGGAAAGAAAAGCAGCAGGUUAAUACCCCGCUGUUCUGACGGUACCCAAAGAAUAAGCACCGGCUAACUUCGUG
rnacentral:rRNA from 1 species